rnacentral:rRNA from 1 species
GAUGAACGCUGGCGGCGUGCCUAAUACAUGCAAGUCGAGCGAACAGAUAAGGAGCUUGCUCCUUUGACGUUAGCAGCGGACGGGUGAGUAACACGUGGGUAACCUAUCUAUAAGACUGGAAUAACUCCGGGAAACCGGGGCUAAUGCCGGAUAACAUGUUGAACCGCAUGGUUCUACAGUGAAAGGCGGCUUUGCUGUCACUUAUAGAUGGACCCGCGCCGUAUUAGCUAGUUGGUGAGGUAACGGCUCACCAAGGCAACGAUACGUAGCCGACCUGAGAGGGUGAUCGGCCACACUGGAACUGAGACACGGUCCAGACUACUAAGGGAGGCAGCAGUAGGGAAUCGUCCGCAAUGGGCGAAAGCCUGACGGAGCAACGCCGCGUGAGUGAUGAAGGUCUUCGGAUCGUAAAACUCUGUUAUUAGGGAAGAACAAAUGCGUAAGUAACUGUGCGCGUCUUGACGGUACCUAAUCAGAAAGCCACGGCUAACUACGUG